GAACGCUGACAGAAUGCUUAACACAUGCAAGUCAACUCGAACUUCGGUUUGGGUGGCGGACGGGUGAGUAACGCGUAAAGAACUUGCCUUACAGUCUGGGACAACAUCUGGAAACGGAUGCUAAUACUGGAUAUUAUGUUUUUUCUGCAUGGAAGAGACAUGAAAGCUAUAUGCGCUGUAAGAGAGCUUUGCGUCCCAUUAGCUAGUUGGAGAGGUAACGGCUCACCAAGGCGAUGAUGGGUAGCCGGCCUGAGAGGGUGAACGGCCACAAGGGGACUGAGACACGGCCCUUACUCCUACGGGAGGCAGCAGUGGGGAAUAUUGGACAAUGGACCAAGAGUCUGAUCCAGCAAUUCUGUGUGCACGAUGAAGUUUUUCGGAAUGUAAAGUGCUUUCAGUUGGGAAGAAGAAAGUGACGGUACCAACAGAAGAAGCGACGGCUAA
rnacentral:rRNA from 1 species